rnacentral:rRNA from 1 species
UACGGAAGGGGCUAGCGUUGUUCGGAAUUACUGGGCGUAAAGCGCGCGCAGGCGGCUUGGCGAGUGAGGCGUGAAAUGCCCGGGCUUAACCUGGGAACUGCAUUUGUGACUGCAUGGCUAGAGUUUGGCAGAGGGGGGUAGAAUUCCACGUGUAGCAGUGAAAUGCGUAGAUAUGUGGAGGAACACCGAUGGCGAAGGCAGCCCCCUGGGUCAAGACUGACGCUCAUGCACGAAAGCGUGGGGAGCAAACGAGG